UGGUCAUUUAGAGGAAGUAAAAGUCGUAACAAGGUCUCCGUAGGUGAACCUGCGGAGGGAUCAUUACUGAGUUUUCAACUCUCCAAACCAUGUGAAUUUACCACUGUUGCCUCGGUGGUUAGUGCUCUCCCUCGGGGGGGUGCUGCCGCCGGUGGACUACUAAACUCUUGUUAAUUUAUGGCAUUCUGAAUCAUAACUAAGAAAUAAGUUAAAACUUUCAACAACGGAUCUCUUGGUUCUGGCAUCGAUGAAGAACGCAGCGAAAUGCGAUAAGUAAUGUGAAUUGCAGAAUUCAGUGAAUCAUCGAAUCUUUGAACGCACAUUGCGCCCAUUAGUAUUCUAGUGGGCAUGCCUGUUCGAGCGUCAUUUCAACCCUUAAGCCUAGCUUAGCGUUGGGAGACUGCGCUAAACCGCAGCUCCUCAAAACCAGUGGCGGAGUCCUCUCGUGCUCUGAGCGUAGUAAUUCUUUAUCUCGCUUCUGUAAGUACGGUUGACGACAGCCAUAAACCGCACCCUCUCGGGGGGCACUUUUUAAUGGUUGACCUCGGAUCAGGUAGGAAUACCCGCUGAACUUAAGCAUAUCAAUAAGCGAAGGGA
rnacentral:rRNA from 1 species